rnacentral:rRNA from 1 species
UACAGAGGGUGCGAGCGUUAAUCGGAAUUACUGGGCGUAAAGCGCACGUAGUCGGCUUUGCAAGUCGGUUGUGAAAUCCCCGGGCUCAACCUGGGAACUGCAUCCGAGACUGCAUUGCUAGAGUAUGGGAGAGGAAAGCGGAAUUUCCGGUGUAGCGGUGAAAUGCGUAGAUAUCGGAAGGAACAUCAGUGGCGAAAGCGGCUUCCUGGACCAGCACCGACGUUCAGGCACGAAAGCGUGGGGAGCAAACAGG